UACGUAGGGGGCAAGCGUUGUCCGGAAUCAUUGGGCGUAAAGAGCGUGUAGGCGGCCAGAAAAGUCCGCUGUGAAAACUCGAGGCUCAACUUCGAGCUGUCGGUGGAAACUUUCUGGCUAGAGUCCGGAAGAGGAGAAUGGAAUUCCUGGUGUAGCGGUGAAAUGCGCAGAUAUCAGGAAGAACACCCCGUGGCGAAGGCGGUUCUCUGGGACGGUACUGACGCUGAGACGCGAAAAGCGUGGGGGGAGCGAAACAGGG
rnacentral:rRNA from 1 species